GAUGAAGAACGUAGUGAAAUGCGAUAAGUAAUGCGAAUUGCAGAAUUCCAGUGAGUCAUCGAAUCUUUGAACGCACAUUGCGCCCUUUGGUAUUCCGAAGGGCAUGCCUGUUCGAGCGUCAUUAUCACCCCUCAAGCCCUCGGCUUGGUGUUGGACGGUUUGGUGGAGGCCCCCUCGGGGGCUCCUGCCCCUCCCAAAGACAAUGACGGCGGCCUCGUUGGACCCCCGGUACACUGAGUUCUUCACGGGACACGUGUCGGACACAUGGGUUUACGGGACACGGUCUGCCUCCCCUCAGGGAGAAUCUUUCUAAGGUUGACCUCGGAUCAGGUAGGGAUACCCGCUGAACUUAAGCAUAUCAAUAAGCGGAGGA
rnacentral:misc_RNA from 1 species